UACGGGAGGCAGCAGUGGGGAAUAUUGCACAAUGGGCGAAAGCCUGAUGCAGCUAUGCCGCGUGUAUGAAGAAGGCCUUAGGGUUGUAAAGUACUUUCAUCGGGGAGGAAAAACAAAACUAAUAAUUUUAUUUCUUGACGUUACCCGAAAAAGAAGCACCGGCUAACUCCGUGCCAGCAGCCGCGGUAAUACGGAGGGUGCUAGCGUUAAUCAGAAUUACUGGGCGUAAAGAGCACGUAGGUGGUUUUUUUAAAGUCAGAUGUGAAAUCCCUGGGCUUAACCUAGGAACUGCAUUUUGAAACUGAAAUACUAGAGUAUCGUAGAGGGAGGUAGAAUUCUAGGUGUAGCGGUGAAAUGCGUAGAUAUCUGGAGGAAUACCUGUGGCGAAAGCGGCCUCCUAAACGAAUACUGCACUGAGGUGCGAAAGCGUGGGGAGCAAACAGGGAUUAGAUACC
rnacentral:rRNA from 1 species